GUUUAAAUCCGGUAGUAGCUACAGCCCGAGCUUUUUCAGCGAGGCUAUAGUGAAUAACGGGACUGUUU
rnacentral:sRNA from 1 species